AAAUACACAUUACCCCCAAACCCUAAUUGAAUACCUACACACCCUAGAGACCAGCCUAACACACACACAAAUGAGAAGUUUUAUUUUGUGUCUCAUACAAUUUACACUAGUUGUAUGAGUCUCUUUUUUGUCUCACAAAUUUGUGGACCACAAUUUUACACUUUUAAAUCCAUAGAAAUCUAGGUUUUCAAAACUGUGAGACAAAAAAAUUACCUUAUACAACUAGUGUCAAUUGUAUGAGACACAAAAUAAAAUUUUUCCCGCUCAAAUACAAUGGAAAGGAGCGCCGCAUCUUCUUCUUCUUGAAUCAGGAGACUCCUCCAACUUUUCGAAAAAAAAGAAAAAGGACUCUAAAAAGGAUAAUCUCCUAAGAAAGCUAGCAACGCACCCCUCCAUUUUGGACCUCUCAUUCUCUGAUUCAAGAACGACACACCUUCCUCCUUGCGGCUUUGGCUUUUCUUUGAAAUCGAUUUUUUGAAAUGGAUAGGUUUGAAUUCGAGUUGGGACAGACCUGAUGGACAUAAACAGAGGGAUGUAAAUAGUUACGAACCCCACCAGAUUGCGGCCAAAAACUGCUCAGAUUCUGCCGGUCUGGCGAUUUUCCGACGAUUCGAGUUUCGAUUUUCCGUCGAGGCUGCCGCCGGCAAAGGUUUAUGUUCGUGAUCGUUAUCUUGGCUUGAUAUUGAGUAGCAGAAACUCUAAGACUUGGAUUCAAUUAAUACAAGAUCCAAGUAUUUCAGCUCAUGCCGGACACCAGUGAUUUGACCAGAUAUUUUGGAGACUUUAAUUUAUACCUGUUUGGCGCUCGCAUGUCUCGGAGUCAUCUUCUGCCACUGUCUUUUGUACUGUUUACUUCAUAUCAAAACAAUUUUAUAUUAGAGAUCCUUAGUGUACAUAUGUAAAGCUUAUGAUUGAGUUUUACCCGUUGGGGAUUUUUGUGAUUGUUGUUCAGUAUUGAUAUUAUCAUGAGAUUUAUUAGUUAAUUUA